rnacentral:rRNA from 1 species
UACGAAGGGGGCUAGCGUUGCUCGGAAUCACUGGGCGUAAAGCGCACGUAGGCGGAUCUUUAAGUCAGGGGUGAAAUCCUGGAGCUCAACUCCAGAACUGCCUUUGAUACUGAGGAUCUUGAGUCCGGGAGAGGUGAGUGGAACUCCGAGUGUAGAGGUGAAAUUCGUAGAUAUUCGGAAGAACACCAGUGGCGAAGGCGGCUCACUGGCCCGGUGCUGACGCUGAGGUGCGAAAGCGUGGGGAGCAAACGGG